GACCGGCCGCUCGCACCGCCCCGAGCCCCGGCGGGUGACGGGGCGCCGCCGCUCCGUCCUUCCCCCGCCGCCCAGGGCAGCCGGCGGGACGGCCGAGGAUACCGCGGUUUCACGCAAGGCACCAUCAGCCCCUUCCCACGAUGGAGGAGAAAACCCGCCACGCCGCUCCGCACAGUGCGACACUCGUGUCUUUUUCUUCUUUCCGCCCCCCCCCCCCCCCCCAACCUCCGCGGCAUCGCUACAACGCACCUCAUCCCAACCCUUUUAACUUUAUUUUUGGGGGGGUUGUGGGUGUGGGGGUUUUUUUAUUUAUUUUUUUUUUUUUUUAUUUCUCUUCGGAUCUCCCCUGACACGGUAACACAACCUCUGCGCUACAGCGGGAGCCCCACUAGAUAGGUAACCGAUCUAAGUAUGCGGGGACAGCUCUUUAUUUCCCGCUGAAUGUAGCUACCGGGCAGCGGAACGGGGACUUGGAGUUCGUCUCCUAGUGAAAAUGGCCAAAAGACACUCGAGCAGGCGAAGGGACGGAGAGAUAAAAAAAAGAAAACAUGUUUAAAAUAGACAGAGAAAUGCCCGGCCGGACAAUUCCUCCUCUGCAAACACACGCGUGUUGUGUACGCUCACGUUUGAGCUGGUCACCAAGUACGGGUGUGGGGACACGGACCUGUGCGCAACUCUGCAAAGGAUUAAUUGCCCCUCACCUCCUCACACACACUUUUUUAUGUUGCCACAUGCACACCCCCUUCUGCCGCAGAAAUAAUAUAUGUGGCUAAAGCCACAGGUGCUGAGAUGGUUGGAAAGUUGUAAAAAGCACCUUGACAAUGUCCUGCUUCGAAACCUGGUGUAUUAAGAGCCCACGGACGAAGAUGUACUGCGGCUCAAUUUCAAAGACAAGGCUGCAGCAUUCCAUUGAUCCUGACGGAGCUAAAAUAACCUUUCCCCGAAACAGGGACCAGGAGGGACUGGGAAGACAGAAGGGGAGAAAGCAACCUUUCCCCGUUAAAAUGUGGGGAACUGCCUUGCGAUUUCCACAUAGCCCAGAGGCGAGGAGGUCACCUUUCGGGGAGGGUGGGAGAAGGUGGGGGUUCAAAAUGCAGGGCAGUCACAGAUUGUUGCUGAUGUUGAAUUUCCUGAGGGGGGGAAAAAAAAAAAAAGAACAAACAAAAAAAACAAACAAAACCACACAACAACCCACAAAACAACCCAACACCAACCUUUCCUGUCUCGAAUCUGACAAAGUAAACAGGAUUAAUUCGCCAUAUGAAAAAACAUUAACGCCGUCCUAACAAAUGCAGAAAUCAGAAGAGAAAGCGGUUUUUAACAGGACGUACAAUAUUAAUAGUUUGAACGUAUGAUCGUAAAAAUGAAAAGCCAUUGAUAUACGCUUAAAAGCCGCCGUAUACGCUGAUUGCUCAAGCAUUAAUGAAGAAUGCCCCAGAUUAACUAUUUGCUCUUCGAGGGAUGCAGCAAUAUAACUAUCUAUUAGCACCAUUAGACGCUUUGCUAUUUAUUUGAAAACACCCCUGCGAGUGGGUUGAGGCAGAACAGAUGAAUGUAAAAAUGAACUGCAGCUAAUUUCGCUAAAUAAUACUCGAAACCCGAGCGCCUCGCAAAGAAGGGGGAGAUUCUCAACUGUCCUUCUCGCAGCCUAAUGACAAUGGAAAUGCUCUGUUUUAAAAGUAAGACUGGAUUGGUUUUCCAAAUAAACAAACGCAUCCCUCCUGCCAUUUUACUGCAGAUGUAAAUUUAUUUUAAUGAGAGGGAGUGGAAGGAUUUAUUUUGCUAAAAUAGAGUUGGGGAUAGAGCCGGUGUAAAUCUUUAGGUUUUAAAAAGAGGAGGAAGGAGGGGGAAGCUGCUUUCCUGGCAGAAAGCUGCCUAACAGUCCUCUAAUUCUUUCUAGAUUAAAUCGCAAUAUGAAUACAGCAUCGAACAAAUACCGAGUUUCGCUCUGAACUCAGUGGAAAGCAGUUACGUCUAACAGAAUUCAAUGAAUUCCUCUUCUCCCUCAAUGUAGUAUGUGUGUGUUUUUCUCUUCCACCACACUGAAGUUCCAUGAAUAGGGAAAGUGGCUCCUAUUGUGUGCCUCUGAACUUCCAAGUCAAUGCAAUUUUUAACCACUGGCUUGUGGUACUUUGAAAAUCACCAGGGGCUGUCAGAGUUGGGUCCUCUGAAAAAUUUACAGUGCUAAAUCAGAGCAUAUGCUGUGAGAGAGGAAAAAAAAAUUGCUUAAGAUUGGAGCAAGUACAGUAUCUGGCUGCCCCCUAGUGUAAGUCUCUUAUCUGCCUAAAAUUCAACUUUAAAAGAAAAGGAUCUCUUAAAGGGAAACGACUUUUGGCUCACGUAUGCAUACGAGAAUGAAACUUCUGUACAUUUUAAUCUGAUUAAUUCCUAAGGAUUUAAAAUUAAUUGGCUUGGGCACUCCUAGACUGGACUAUAAGAUUUCUGCAUCAGGGUUUCUGCGAGCGCUGUACCGAAUAGGUAUUUUUAAGGGAUAGUGGUAAGGGAUGGGGGGGGGAAUCCUGUUUUGUGAUUUUUUUUUUUUUUUUUUAAAACGAGGAACCGUGCCUCGCAUGCUGUUGUCAGAGCAAUACAGUUUUGCUGCUUAAAGUCAGAUCUACGUCUUUUGCAAUAAUACUUAAAAAAAAAAAAAAAAGGAUAAAUAAUUGCCUUAAAGCCUCAGCCGAACUGCCAACCACACCUUCGGAGGUCAGAAGGCAGAAAUAUGUGAACUGCUGAGAGAGGUGGGUACUUUUUGGGAUGAACCAUCGCAAGACCAUGACUGGAAAGUGUGGGGCCCAAGCACAGAGAGAGGUGGCUGGUGCAGCUGGUUCCCUUUUGGUUCAGCUCUCAGUCAUGGCACAAGCUACCAGAGGCUAGAGAAACAUCAUGUGGACUGGUCCUGUCCUGGCUCCUCCUCAUCAGUGAUUUGGGCCCUGUGAAGCCCCGAGAACCAAGGCAACAUGGGUGCAUGGCAGGGUAUUUACUCCUUUCACGGUCUAUACCUGAAGCACAGCGCAAAGUUUCAUCCUUCUGAAGAUGUACGUGGAUAUGCUGAUAAACUGCCAUUUAGUCCAGAGGCUGGACAGAAAUACAUCACCAGAUAAAAUACAAUAUUCCUAGUGAAAAUCUUUAUGGAACGUGUUCUUGCCCCAAACCCCUCCUGGAAUAGGCAUGGUAAUGCUCCCUGAGACCUGGCAGCCCUUCGAAGUGAGCAUAUGGUUUGCUCAGCUCUUGCAGUACAGGAGAGGCACAGCCUGGUUUGCUACGAUGCAACCGCCCUGAUUAAUGUUCUUGAAGCCCUGAUGUACUGGGACCACCAUCGUUGGUCCAUUUCCAGCAAGAUCUUGUUACACAGUUCCUGCUGACAACCAGGGAACAGACACAAGUCAGCUCAGAAAAUGAACGACUAGAAGGCUGGGGUCACAAGUUGGAUUUGGAAGAAACAACUUUCAUGCAAAAGUGUGACUGGAAUAUGAAUACUAUUUUAGGGUAAGUGGAUUUUUGUUUAAUUUUGUUUUUAUACAGUGUAUAAAGUUUGUACAAAACCUGUUGUUAAUCCCAGCCUAGAUAUGAAACUGCAUUUGACCACUACUUGUUCAAUCCCAUAAAGUGUACUUGUGUACCACAGCAACAUCUGCUCUAUUUAUAUAUUAAAAUUACUUUACCAGGUCAGCCCUUUGGGAUUUAGCAUUCCAUUUAUAAAGGAUUCUAUAAUACACACCAGUUGUGCUAUCUCUCUGCUUUCUGGUGAAUUGGGUGAUUUUCUUAAACCUAUUUAUAUUUUAAUUUAUUGUAACACUUAUUUACUUUCUUAUUUGAACAACUGAGACUUUUACAAUAAUAAUAAGAGCUAAAAAAUAACUCUUAAAGACUGAACGGAUACUCGUUAUAAUGUUCUCUUUAGUACUUGCAGGUUUUGGGUUAUCUUAUGCAACCUUUCUAUGUUGACUACUCUUUGUUAGUUUUUCUCAGACACAGAAAGUAGUGAUAAUGGAUAAUUUGUGCUAUAGAUUUCUUUACAGACGAAGUGUCCUGAAAUCUAGUAAGUACUCAAUACUGGCAACUUAUACAGCCCUCUGUGCUACUACUGCUGCUUUGAACCUAUUUAUUUAGUCAUUUGGACUUUAACUGCUCAGACACAUUCCUUCCUGCUGCAACAGCAGUGAUACAGGAAGGUGUGUGUUAAACCAUGCAGUCAUUUCAUCUUGGAUUUCACGAGGGGUUAUUCUUGUCUCAGAGAUGAGUCAUUCAAAUAUCCUUCUACAGAUUCCAGGUGAGUUACUCACAUUUAGAUGCUUCCAAGUAAUAUACAGAAAGGUGCUGAGAAAAUGAUGAGUCUCUGCCUAGUCAAAAUCUUAGCAAAAGUAGAUCUGAGUAAAUUACAUGUACUAGUGCUCAAAAUCUUUCUAAGGAGACCUGGGGCCAAAGGGCUUCUACCUUCAAAAAUGUGUUGCCAACACGGAUGCACAGGACUUUCUUUACUGACCCAUCAGCUGCUCUCUGUCCCCAGAAACAGUUCACGAAAUGACUGAAAGUAUCUGAAGACAUAAAAAGGAUAAUUAAGUUUCAUUGUGGGAAUAAGAAGGUAAUCUGUCCGGACAAAUCUAGGACCUAGUAUUGAAAAUUGUAGUAUCUGAAUAUAAAAAAUGAGUAAUUUUGAAUAAAGAUGUCUAUCAGGACUGUAAAUUCAGAGAGUAAAAAGGUAGCUUUGCUUAAUAGACCAUCUCUCCAUCUUCCUCUAACUCAUUUUCUUGUUCUCUUUCUUCCUUUUGUGUUAUUGCAAAAAAAAAAAAAAUAUGCAUGUAAAAUCUGAUACUGAGAAUGCUUUAGCUUCAUUUCAAUCUUCUCAAAAUGUUUUGUUCCACUCUGAAGAUUCCCCCUAUGAGAUAACCUUAGCCAUGACUGCACGAGGCUUGCGGGGCCACUUAUUUGCAGAGAGAACAGCUAUAUUUUGAGGAGUCUCUGAGGCAGCCAGGUCCCCACUUUUCUAAGGCUCUUAAAGAUGUUUUUGAGCUGGCAUGAGAAAUCACCUGAGACUCAGAGCAGAUCACAAGGUGCUUAGGACAGUAUUUUCUCUGCACCUUUUUUUGCUGAGCAGAAUUGCUGCACUAUAAACAAAUGCAAGUUUUGCCUCAUUCUUAGAUACUGUGAGUUAUGAAAGCCUACUCUAGAUGUAAUGAAUGUAUAGAUCAUUUUGACCAGAUCAUAAUCUAUUAGUAAAUAAUGUUCCUUGAGAAUGUAUAGGUGAAAUAAAGAACUUCUUACUACUAUUGCUCUGUUGGUAUCAAGGAUUACUGAUGGGGCCAACACGAUCCUAAAGCUUCGUGCUACUGAUGUUUAAAUACAAUGCAGAACUAACUACAGGGUUUGGUUAGCAGAUUCCUUCCUGGAUUGAGAAAUUCAGGAUUUAUAGUGCUGGAAACAGAACACAAAACUAUACAAAGCUUAUCCAGCCCUAGACUUUAUCACAAGCCCCUAACUUCAGUUCACUAACAUGCUUACUAACAUCUAUAAAACUUUCCCAUUAGGCUCCCCUGAUUUUGGUGGCGAUAUUAAUAAACAAAUCACACAGCAAUUUUCAGAAUGAGUAUGACUGAUAUAGCAAAUCCCUAUAACACCUAUGACUCCAUUCACUGUCUGUGGAGGAAGCCCAAGGAUACCAGGCUGUCCAAGAUCUAUGGGCAAUUGUCAGCACAGUGUCUAGGCCAUGGGAAGGUUAGUUUUAAAGAAGAUGGCGCUUAAGGGACGUCUGUGUGACACAUGCUACAGUGUCCAGAGAUUGGAGUCUAUGUAUUUUACUCUAAAUCUGGAGAGGAAGUCACUAUGAAAAAAGGGAAAGAAGCACGGGGGAAUAAAAGUACUUUUGAAAGAGAAGAAAUCUACAUUUCAAUGAAAAUCCUUUCAAGGCAUUUCAAAUAGGAGUCUGAGAGAAAUAAUUACAAAGUUUGGAGAGAAAGAACGUUAGCUUUGAUAUCUUUUUCUUCUAUGAAGCAAUUAAAAUAAGCAAUUUUUCAAAUACUAAGCAGAAAAUUACUAAUGGCUGAACCCAAAAGCUUUCAUUUCCUUCUUGGGGCCUUUAUUCUUCUAAAAAAAGACAAAAAAAAUGUGAAGGUGGUUUUCCAGAUAGAUUAAUGCAUAAAGCAGUCGCUAGUUGGAUGUCAUAAAAACUACAGCAGCAUAGAAUAGCUGAGAUUAAGAGCUAGAUUUAAAUCAUGCAACAGUCCAGUUAAUAUCAAUGUCUAAUUAAGAAAUGCAUAAGAAGUCUGUAAUGUUGAUUUGAUGGAGAAAAACUCUAAUAGGGUUUCUUUUGGAAUUUUCCAUUUCAAUUGCUGUGUAGACUUUUAAUGGAUGUCCUAUGCAGUCUUCAGUAUUAUCAGGAAUCAUCCUCAAAUUAAAACCAAGGCCUAAAAUGGAACACAGGUAGACAAAUUAGCUCGUCUGGAAAGCAGUCUGGGUAGAAUGACAAUGUGAGAUCAAGCCGAAAUUUUAGUACAAAUAAAAGAGAACAAAUGUCUCAAAUCUGGUGUGGUAACCCUAUCUGCUUAUCGUUUUAAACAAUUUUAAACCCUGUAAUUUUAAACAAUGCAAUGUUAACGCAUUUCCCCACCUCCCUAAGCCUGCCGAAAUCCCUGACAAUUCAUACUUAGAAAUCCAGACUACUAAGCAUUAUUAAUUAGUCUUUUUAAAUAGGAAGGCUUUCUAUAGUUAUGUAUAUUAGUAGUAUGUAGAGGUGGGCUCUUUGCUUGCAGUGGGAUUUAGAGCGUGCAGUUCCCUAUCACUAUCAAUGAAUGCCAUUAAUCUCCCACUCCUCUCUGGGCAACUAAAGCUCUUCAACUAUUUGAGCAAUACUAAACCUGAGACAUCUGCUCUGUCACACAGAUCAUCCAAGAUGUUUGGUCUCUAGAUAUGAAAGAAGAACUGGUUUUAUGCCGCGUGUCACUAAUGCUCUAAAAUUAUUAAACUAGGAGCAGUGUAACUGUUUGUAUGCACAAAUCCACAUUGCAAAGAGGGGGAAACCAUAGCACUGGAUUAAAGCAGGGUAUUUGUUAUCACCACUUUGUUGUUUACCAAACAAAUCCAGAGGGAAUUAUCUCAAGAUUCCAGGAAGACAUCAAACUCAAAAUAGCCCUUCUGAGCUAGGCAGCAAGCACACUGAAGAGUAAUUUUUAAAUUCAUUAGAACCACAUUAAAAUACAAUAUAUAAGCCAUGGUAAAGUGAGGCAUAUGAUUCCAUCUGUCUACAUAUUUCUUUCCAGUACUAAAUUCAUCCAGAGACUUUUCAGAAUCAUAUCAUUAAGUCUUGUCAGUUCACUUAACGAACAGAGAGUGGAGGUAAAAUCAGAAUAACAGUGAAAGUUUGGCACUUCCAAGUCACUGUCAUUGCCUGAAAUGACACAGUCUAAAUUUGUGCCUGACAUUACUCCACUGAUCAAUGAGGCACCAAUAUGUCAUAUUAAACUGAUACCAUGGCCCUGGGGGACGCCCCAAAGAUUUUUCCCCUUGAAAGAGAUGGGAACUAGGAUGUUCUUAGUGAGGCAUGUACCUUCUGGAUGGUACAGAAGGUCUAAUGUGGGGACAUUCAGGUUAUCAGAGGAGUCUGACUAUUUUUACCCUUCUCUUGACUGUAUAACUGAGAAGGUAUCAUGGGUAAAGAUGCUUCUAGAUGAUUGGUUAAAUGGAGCACUGCUCUAGCAGGGUGCUUUGUCUGCAAGUUUUGUUGGAUUUAUGCAAUAUUUAGAAAAUAAAGAACAUGAAGCAGGUUGUCUUUUGCAAAAAAACAUGCAACAGAAAAAUAAACCUUAACUUGUCCAAAACACUUGAGAGCCACAAAUUCUAUUACAGUUUCAUUAAAUGAGAGGAAAAUUUCUACUUUCCUCCAUAAAGCCAUCCUUUUAGACAUUACUGCAGCCAUGACCUUACCACAGUUCCUGGAUUCUUUCUGAAAAGAUUAAAAUGAACUAAUACACCAGUGAUCUCAUCACAGCAUAAAGGACACCUUACACAGGGGGGAAAAAAAAAAUCAGAACUUCAGUGCUUCAUCUGCAUCAAAACAAAGCACUAUAACAUCACUGUGGAGAAACACUAAAGGUACAAUGCCAGAGAGGCAUCUUUGCAUCUUAUAAAUUAUUUGGAUUUGUCUUACCUGAUCCUGCCUGUCACACCCGUUAUUGUUUUAGCUGCUGUCUCCACAUCUGUUCUCUUUCUUUUUUUUUUCCUGCUUUUACCUAUACCUUCCAUUGUCUCUUCUGUGCCUUUCCUACAUGUUUUAAUUUACCUGAUUACUUUGAAUCAUAUGUACUACUAUUCUUAACUACAUCCAAAAUACAUUUUGCAGAGUAUAUAGAUACAAUCAAGUUACAAAAAAGUGUUCACACAUCCUUCAUCUAUAGCUUACAUUAUUCUGGGUAGGAACACCUUUCCUACAUGUACAUACAGUUCUCAGGCCAAGGGGUCAUGGAUUAUGACAUCUAAUUUGGAGCUGUUGUAUCUUCUAACAGAAAUUACAAGGAAGAAUAUGGAGUGAGGCUUUGUUUUCUUUGGUAGGAGAACCUAUAAAUUAGUAUUGAUGGAACAGAGAAUCCCACCACAUUUUUAAUAUUGUCUCACACUAUGAGGUUGGAAGCAAGAAUAUCUUCAGAACACGAAGAGUACAGUGUUAAUAGUGUAAUGUUAUCUCUUGCACCCAGAGGUAUACCUAGCUCUGUCUUGAGAUCAUACCAUUAAGCAAUGAGGUGACAAACCGGUUUCCUUUCUCAAGCCAAAUGUCACGUAACUGCCCAGGGGCCCAUUUUGGUGGUGGUAGUCCUCCCCGACUUUUCAAGGAGAGAUGUGCCUGUGCAACCUGUUCCUACCCUCUACGCUUGGCGGGAGGAGACAAAACCGCUCAUUUCCAUCUGUAGACAUUUCUCAGCCAGGAAAAAAAGCCAUGAGGUAUCAGCCUGUAGGCUGGGAAGCAUUAGAGCAGCCACCUGUUAGACACUGAGAAAGAAACCUUUGAACACCAUCAAGUGGAGAGGAACUCCCAGCACUAAAGCAAGUGGAUGUCUUGCAAUCCUUUGAUGAUGGUACCUUUCUAUCCACCCAACAAGGUUUGUUUGUCCUAGAUGGGGCAGCAGACAAACAUCUAACACCAACUGCUUUGCUGUUGAUAGAUCUGAUUUAGUGAAGAGAGCCCUGAUCAGGAUAAUACAUGCUGCAGCAUUAGUAGAAGCCAAAAAGGCCCAAGAGGCAGCACAGAGCAUCUGUUACCUACAAGAAAACAGUGGGUGAAAAACUGUUGUAAUUCCUGGCUCCAGGAGCCUGUCUGGAGGCACAGACUUUCCAAGAUAGAAGAGAGAAGGAGAACUUGGGAUGUUCAGAGAGAUCUCAUCCCCACCCAGAUUUACCAGUCAGCUCAGUCCAGGCCAAAGGAGCUGAGUGAGGUCCUCGGUUUUACUCCAAGUUCAUUGUUCUAUUUACUGUGAAGAUAUAUUUAUAGUAGAUCAGGAUCUUGAACUGAGACUGGCCUACCAGCUGAAGCUGUACAAACUAAAACGUACAUUCCCCAACUACAGAUAAAACCCAUGGCCAAUUGUAGCCUAAUCAUCACUUCUGCCAGAGGAAAGAAAAACUCUUUGAGGCAAGUUCCCUUGGAUAUAAUUCCUUCUUUCCAGGUUAAAGAAUGGUUACAACUAAUACAUAUCCUGAGUCGUAAUGUGGAUUUGCACCUUUCCUGUUAAAUAUAGCUGGUUCAUGUCCAAAGCAUCCCUUCUAUUCCUAAUGAUCAGUUGUAUCCUUACAACUUCUACAUUAGUUGCAGGUGUGAAAUGCCAACUGAUCCACACUUCUCUUGCUGUCAGCAGGAGAGUAAUGUGUGUCAAAGGCCUAAUUCUCAGAGGUGAGGUCACCAGGAUCUCCAUUUGCACAUCUGCUUUGCUAAACACAAAACUCCUGAGAUUUGCAAAGAUCCAAUAUGCACAAAGUGGGAUGAGUUCACUGGGGCCAUACAUAAGAAACUCUGCUUCUCAUUUAAUAGGCAGGUCACAGAAUUUUCCCACUAUACAAAAUAUUUGCUGUUUUAUAACAGGCAGCAUUUUGCUAGUCUUCAUAUGUGGAUACUUGCAUGCUCUAUAUUAAUAAGGAAAAAGGCUACACUUUUCCCUGUUACAUUAUACAAGAGAAGUCAGGAUACCAACAGGCUAAAAAAGAGCCUAAUACAUUAAGCAGCUUCAGAAAGAUGCUAAUAUUCAGCGUGUCCCUGCUUGGACUGUGCAGAUAUUGAGAUAAGGAGACUGACUGAUCAGAGCUCCUGGAAGGACGAUGCUGCUGGAGCCUGCCUUAGAGGCAUCAAGAUUUAGUUUUGAGGGCUUCAAGAGAAGCAUUCAAAUAUUUCUACUUCCUGCUGCUAGUGGAUGUUUUUCAUAUCUUGGAAAAAGUCUUCUGAUUGCUAUAUAUUUGCACUUGAUGUUUAGAUAACGGUUCUUGCUCAGGGACUAUUCUAAUACAGUUUUCUGCCUUCUACAUUUUACAUGAGAUCAAAGACCAAUUUUUAAUAUAUAUAUAUGCUUAAUUCUUUCUUGAUUUCUGCUAAUCUAGAAUAUCCUUCAAUAUUGGAAAUAAAGAUUCCCACAAGUAAUCUGUACAGACUACCUUUUUGUCUUCAACGAUGGUAAAUAAUUGGUCUUUUAAAGUAAUCUUGUUACGACAUCAUGAUUUUGGUUAUUCUGGAUUUAUAGGACAUUUUAAACACAUGCACUGAAGUAUCAUUCACCACUAUACACUAUACUUUUCCUCCCUCAGUUGACUAUUUUUAAAGUGUUUUGGGAUAGUGGAAUCAAAACUGAUCUUAAUAUUCAAAAUGAGAAAACAGGGAAUUUGUCUAAAUCCACUAAUCACCUAGCCUGUGUCUGUGCUUGGGAUUUCCUUGACCCAUGUGCAGGACCUUGCACUUGGCCUUGUUGAAAAACUUGAAGUUUGCACGGGCCCAUCUCUCCAGCCUGUUCAGGUCCCUCUGGAUGGCAUCCCUUCCCUCCAGCAUG